rnacentral:rRNA from 1 species
UACGUAGGGUGCAAGCGUUGUCCGGAUUUACUGGGCGUAAAGAGCGUGUAGGCGGCCACGCAGGUCCGUUGUGAAAACUGGAGGCUCAACCUUCAGACGUCGACGGAAACCGUAUGGCUAGAGUCCGGAAGAGGAGAGUGGAAUUCCUGGUGUAGCGGUGAAAUGCGCAGAUAUCAGGAAGAACACCAAUUGCGAAGGCAGCUCGCUGGGACGUUACUGACGCUGAGACGCGAAAGCGUGGGGAGCAAACAGG